ensembl:lncRNA
AAGACCCAAAACCUAAAACAUCAUGACAUUUGUAUAGAUGUUCACUCAGUUAAACCUUGAUACAACCACAAAAACAAAAAAUAAAGCAGUCAGAAACCUAAACUAUCUGACCCUGACUGACACUUUCUGACACGGGCCAACAGGUUCCAGCCUCCAUCAUCCUGUGUGUGACGCAGUGACGAUGAUGAACCAACUCACUCUAACCCCUAUGCUAAUGCUAUAUAAUAAUGCUCAGUACUGCAUUAACUAAUGCUAAGGUUAAGAAGGUGUGAUUAUAAUUCAUCUUUGAUCACCAUGGUUUCAUGGAAGACUUUGAGUCCCUUGAUUGCCUUGUGGAUGUACUCCCUAAAAAGCUUAUAGUCUUCAGGGGACUUGAGCCAUUUAGCUUCUAGUUCAGGGAUAAUCUCCAUCAUUGCUUCAAGUAGCUUCUUGACUUCCGCAAGCUCAGGCCCAAUGUCUUGUAUGUGGUUCAAUAUAUUGUCCGUUAUACGAAUUUGCUUGUCUAUGAGGAUGUUGGCAAUCAUCUCCAAA